GACGAACGCUGGCGGCGUGCCUAACACAUGCAAGUCGAACGAAGCACUUCUUUAGAAGCAUUCGUGUGGAAGAAGAAAUGACUGAGUGGCGGACGGGUGAGUAACGCGUGAGUAACCUGCCCCAGAGAGCGGGAUAGCGUUUGGAAACGAACGGUAAUACCGCAUAAAGUAUUAGAUUCGCAUGGAUUUAAUACCAAAGAUUUAUCGCUCUGGGAUGGACCCGCGUCUGAUUAGCUAGUUGGUAAGGUAACGGCUUACCAAGGCGACGAUCAGUAGCCGACCUGAGAGGGUGACCGGCCACAUUGGGACUGAGACACGGCCCAAACUCCUACGGGAGGCAGCAGUGGGGAAUAUUGCACAAUGGGGGAAACCCUGAUGCAGCGACGCCGCGUGAAGGAAGAAGUAUUUCGGUAUGUAAACUUCUAUCAGCAGGGAAGAAAAUGACGGUACCUGACUAAGAAGCCCCGGCUAAUUACGUGCCAGCCGCCGCCGUAACAC
rnacentral:rRNA from 1 species